UUCGGAGGGUGCAAGCGUUAUCCGGAUUCACUGGGUUUAAAGGGUGCGUAGGCGGGCAGGUAAGUCAGUGGUGAAAUCUUCGAGCUUAACUCGGAAACUGCCGUUGAUACUAUCUGUCUUGAAUACCGUGGAGGUGAGCGGAAUAUGUCAUGUAGCGGUGAAAUGCUUAGAUAUGACAUAGAACACCAAUUGCGAAGGCAGCUCGCUACACGAAUAUUGACUCUGAGGCACGAAAGCGUGGGGAUCAAACAGG
rnacentral:rRNA from 1 species